rnacentral:rRNA from 1 species
AUUGAACGCUGGCGGCAGGCCUAACACAUGCAAGUCGAACGAGCGGCGGACGGGUGAGUAAUGUAUGGGAAAGUGCUUGAUGGAGGGGGAUAACUACUGGAAACGGUAGCUAAUACCGCAUACCAUCAGUUGGGACCAGAGGGGAUUAGCUUGGUGGUGGGGUAACGGCUAACCAAGGCACCGAUCCCUAGCUGGUCUGAGAGGAUGACCAGCCACACGGGAACUGAGACACGGUCCAGACUCCUCCGUGAGGCAGCAGUGGGGAAUAUUGCACAAUGGGCGCAAGCCUGAUUCAGCCAUGCCGCGUGUAUGAAGAAGGCCUUCGGGUUGUAAAGUACUUUCAGCGGUGAGGCGUUACCCGCAGAAUAAGCACCGGCUAACUCCGUGCCAGCAGCCGCGGUAAUUC